rnacentral:rRNA from 1 species
AGUGAACGCUGGCGGUAGGCCUAACACAUGCAAGUCGAACGGCAGCACAGUAAGAGCUUGCUCUUACGGGUGGCGAGUGGCGGACGGGUGAGGAAUACAUCGGAAUCUACUUUUUCGUGGGGGAUAACGUAGGGAAACUUACGCUAAUACCGCAUACGACCUACGGGUGAAAGCAGGGGAUCUUCGGACCUUGCGCGAUUGAAUGAGCCGAUGUCGGAUUAGCUAGUUGGCGGGGUAAAGGCCCACCAAGGCGACGAUCCGUAGCUGGUCUGAGAGGAUGAUCAGCCACACUGGAACUGAGACACGUUCCAGACUCCUACGGGAGGCAGCAGUGGGGAAUAUUGUACAAUGGGCGCAAGCCUGAUCCAGCCAUACCGCGUGGGUGAAGAAGGCCUUCGGGUUGUAAAGCCCUUUUGUUGGGAAAGAAAAGCAGCAGGUUAAUACCCCGCUGUUCUGACGGUACCCAAAGAAUAAGCACCGGCUAACUUCGUG